rnacentral:rRNA from 1 species
AACGAACGCUGGCGGCAUGCUUAACACAUGCAAGUCGAACGAAAACUCCCGGCCUUGUGGCGCAGCGCGACGUGCCGACUGGGAACUAGCACUUAGGUAACCUACACUUCACUGUGGGGGGAGUUCAUAAAGGUUGAUCUAAUACGGCAUAAGAUCUCCUGCUUCUUGAUGGGGUUGGGUAAGAUUCGCCGGUUGGGAAUGUAAUCGCGGCUUAUCAGCUUGUUGGUGGGGUAGUGUCUUACCAAGGCUUUGACGGGUAGCCGGCCUGAGAGGGUGACCGGCAACAUUGGGACUGAGAUACGGCACAGAAUCCUACGGGAGGCAGCAGUGGGGAAUAUUGCACAAUGGGAGGAAGCCUGAUGCAGCAACGCCGCGUGCGGGAUGAAGGCAUUAGGGUUGUAAACCGAUUUCGCCUGUGACGAAGCGUGAGUGACGGUAAUGGGUAAAGAAGCACCGGCUAACUACGUG